rnacentral:tRNA from 1 species
CCUUCGAUAGCUCAGUUGGUAGAGCGGUGGACUGUAGCAGAGUAUGAAAAUGUGUAGAAAUCCAUAGGUCGCUGGUUCAAAUCCGGCUCGAAGGA